CUACGGGAGGCAGCAGUGGGGAAUAUUGCACAAUGGGGGAAACCCUGAUGCAGCAACGCCGCGUGAGUGAAGAAGUAUUUCGGUAUGUAAAGCUCUAUCAGCAGGGAAGAAAAUGACGGUACCUGACGAAGAAGCCCCGGCUAACUACGUGCCAGCAGCCGCGGUAAUACGUAGGGGGCAAGCGUUAUCCGGAAUUACUGGGUGUAAAGGGAGCGUAGGUGGUUUCUUAAGUCAGAGGUGAAAGGCUACGGCUCAACCGUAGUAAGCCUUUGAAACUGGGAAACUUGAGUGCAGGAGAGGAGAGUGGAAUUCCUAGUGUAGCGGUGAAAUGCGUAGAUAUUAGGAGGAACACCAGU
rnacentral:rRNA from 1 species